rnacentral:rRNA from 1 species
UGGGGAAUAUUGCACAAUGGGGGAAACCCUGAUGCAGCCAUGCCGCGUGUGUGAAGAAGGCCUUCGGGUUGUAAAGCUCUUUUGUCAGGGAAGAAACGGUGAGAGCUAAUAUCUCUUGCUAAUGACGGUACCUGAAGAAUAAGCACCGGCUAACUACGUGC